UGGCCACCGUACUGAUCUUUGUAGGCCCAAACAGGCCUGAAAAUUAGCCCGAGACAGGUUGUGGCAGUGAUCUAAGAUGCCUGCGGGAAGAGGGGGAACCUUUGCAGACCUCCUCCGCAGCCCUUAGGAAGCCCCACGAAGGGGCUAAAGCAAUGAUUACCAUCUGGCUGAGCAGUUGUUGGACAUCCGCCAUGGAACUCUGAAAGACUAAUGCUGGCAAUGCUGUUGAAUCCGUCCCUUCUUCUGGCUUGGAGUUUUGCAUUCUGGAUGGUACAGUGGAGAUUUAUUGACCUCAUUAAAUGGGAUUGUAAUCAAGUGGUAUCUUCAUUGCCCUUCAAGCAAGAUGCAUUCACCACCACAUGAUCUUGGCCAAGGACAAGAGGACUCUUUCUGUGUUUUUUCUUUCUUUCUUUCUCUCCCUCCCUCCAAGAUUACAUAUGUGUAUGGGCAUUGCUAUAUGUGCAUCCUCAGGGGUGCUGAAGAGAACUGAGUAUUUUCUUAUUAGAAUUUUGUAUAAUUGAGGGCUAUGCUAUAGCUAUGCUUGAGGGCUAUGCUAUGCUAUAUGAAGAGAACUGAGUAUUUUCUUAUUAGAAUUUUGUAUAAUUGAGGGCUUGCUGUAGCAGCAAGAUUACUGUUUAUGUUAUAGAUUUAAUCAGGUUUAAAAUUGUGUUCUGAUUUAAGAAAAGAACAUAUUUAAUUUCAAUCAUAUUGUAUUUGUUAGUGUAUUCAUUUGAAAAAGUUGGUUUAGGGAAUUGUGCAGCCAUGGGUGGAAGUUCCACUGCCCACUGUAAGACUGAAUCCGCUUGCUACUUAGGAGGAGGGGAUUUUAUUUGCAUGAAUUGCCUCUGCUAACUUGGCAAAGAGGCACAUUUUUAACCUGGUGGUUCUCUUUAUUUAGCAGGGGGAGAAUAACUGGCCCUAUCCACCCAUAGCACAGUACCUCCAGUGACUGUUGCUGGUGUCUAUCUUAUGUUUCUUUUUAGAUUGUGAGGCCUUUGUGGACAGGGAGCCAUCUUAUUCAUUUAUUCAUUUAUUAUUUCUCUAUGUAAACAGCUUUGGAAACUUUUGUUGAAAAGUGGUAUAUAAAUAUUUGUUGUUUGUCUGAAUGUACCCAGGGAGAAAGAUAAAAAUAGGAAUAAAUAUUUGCCACAGUACAUCAGGGAUUAUUUUGAUGCUCUCUCCCUUCUUUUCUCCUCCACUCCUCUCCCCAAAAAUGUAUUAUCCUGGAACGAGUGUGGGAGAAUUAAUCUUCAGAAGGUGAACUGCCAUGCCUUAAUGCACCCACCUUAUCACAGGGCUAACAACAGUAUAAAACCACUGGGAGUGCUAUUACUUUGCCAAGGCUCUUUAAGAGAAAAUGGGAAUCUGAAGGUGUUGUGAUUGUGUGCUAGUUUAGAUCGAUCAUUUGGAGCAUUGAAAACCUCAUUUUUAAUUAAGGAUUUAUUUAUCCUGUGCACAUUUGGGAUCAAGAUUAUAAUGGACAUAACCUGUUGAGAACAAAAUGAGAGAGAGAGAGAGAGAGAGAGAGAGAGAGAGAGAGAGAGAGGAGUUUUUCCUUCUUUGAAUCAGCCACGGCAAGGAUAAAAAUUGCAUCUCUGGAGUUCUGAGUAAAAUUUAUUUCCUCCACUACUUCCACAGGAAAGAAUAACAAAUCUAAAACAUCUUAGAGCAGCAUCUCCAUAAAACAAAGAUGGCAGAAUUGUUUACUGGAGCUUUCAAAAAGUGAAGCGAGUAAAUGAACUUUACGUCUAAGCCCAUCAUCUUUGAUUUACAGCAUUGGCUUCCAAUGCUAUUGACUCUUGGAAAUGGGAAAAUCUUCACCCCCAAGAUGAGUAUUUUAGGUUUACUGCAGGGUUGGGGGAAAGACUCACACAUUCACCAGUAUUUGACACAAAAAUAGCGGCACAUGUGUACUAACCUCUUCGCACAUCAAGAAGGUGAUGGAACAGGUUGUAGACCAAAUGGUGCGUUAGUUCUAUGAAUGUGCAUGAGUCUACCACCAAGACUUGUUCACUUCCCACUCUAGCCUCAGAGCUGGGCACAUGAACCAUGACUUCCAGGAGCCAGUCUCUGGCAACUUACCUUGGGGGCCACUACAGGACAGCUUACAGAGGGAGAGAGAGUAGUAUUGCUAACCAAGCAAAGAGGCACCUUUUAAAAGUGGUGAUUUUAUUUAUCAGGGGGAGAGCAACUGGCCCUAUCCAUCCCCAGCACAGCAUCCCUCCAGUGGCUGUUGCUGGUGUCUUUCUUAUGUUUCUAUUUUAGACUGUGAGCCCUUUGGGGACAGGGACAGGGUCAAGAGCAUAUGAUGUCACCCGCACACUGCCCAGGAUCUUGUCCACUUCCUCAGGCCACACCAACUGAAAAGAAUCCAACACAACGGGACCAGAUGGUACCAGAGGCACGUCUGCCGGAACUGCCAAAACUCGGGAGUCCAAAUCGGCAUGGAUACGAGCGACUUUAUCUGCAAAGUGACAAGCAAACUGAUCACAGCAAGCUGUGGAUGAUUCCUCCCCCAUUACCUGGGGGGGGAUGUGUGGAGCAGUGUUUUUACCACAUGAAACAGCUCUGUUUGUCUGCACUGAGCAGAUGCAAUGGAGGCGGAGAAAAAACGUUUCUUCGCCGCCCCCACCGCCACGGCAUAGUCCCUAAAAUGGGCUCUAGCCUGUGUUCGGUCGGAUUCGUCACGACUCUUCCUCCAGCGUCGUUCCAGCCAUUGUCCGAGUUGUUUCAUCGCCCUAAGCUCCGAGGAAAACCAAGGAGCAGAUCGGGCUCCACCAAGCCGGAGAGGGCGUUUAGGAGCAACCGUGUCAACAGCCCGGGCCAUCUCCCCAUUCCAGAGAUCGUCCAGGGCCUCAACAGGAUCACCAGCUCUGGACACUGGAAACUCCCCGAGGGCCGUCUGGAAUCCAAGCGGAUCCAUAAGCCUCCGGGGGUGGACCAUCCUAAUCGGCCCACCACCCCUGCAGAGGGCAGACGGAGCAGUCAAACUAAACCUUACCAGAUGAUGAUCUGUCCAUGACAAGGGAGUGGUCUCAAAUUCCCCCACCUCCAGAUCAUUUAUUUCCCAGUCGGCAAAAACCAGAUCCAGAGUAUGUCCAGCCGGCCCGAUACCAACUGAGACAGGCCCAUGGUUGCCAUGGAGGCCAUGAAAUCAUGAGCCGUACCACUAGGGGGGCCUCAGCAUAGACAAUGAAAUCCCCCAAAACAAUAAGCCUGGGGGAACCCAAGGCCACCUCCGAGACCACCCCCACCAGCUCAGGUAGGGAGACUGAAGUGCAGUGGGGUGGUCGGUACACCAGCAGAAUCCCCAGCCUUUCUCGGAGGCCCACCCUCAAGGACAAACACUCAAAAUUCUGAGAUUGCCUGACCGGGCACCUGGAAACAGGGAGGAUCUCUUGAUAGGUGACUGCAACGCCCCCUCCCCGACCCUCGAAGCGGGGCUGAGAGAGACCAACCCCGCCCAGCUCAUCCAACCAGGUCUCUGUCAUACAUACCAGGUCAGCAUGCUCAUCCACAAUCAGAUCGUGGAUGAGAGAUGUUUUAGCAUUAACUGACCUGGCAUUCAGCAGCAGCACCCUAAUCCUCGAGGGAGUUUUCUCAGAGCUCCCUGGGGUCAGAGGGUUGAGAGAAGAGCUAGAAAAAGGAACAGGCCUCAAUUGCCUGGACCGUUUCCCCCUGUAACGACCUGCCCAACUCCCAUCACCAUACCUCCCUCUGCCCGCUACCUGUGAUAUUGCUGCCCCCACUCCAUCCCCAUUUUUCUGCUCUCCCAGACACAUCUCCCCAGACUAACCACCACAGCUCCUUGGCUUAAUAAAAAAACCAAAUCCAGACUCAACUCUUGCUGACUUCUUGGUAGCAGGAAGGAAGGUCUUCCAGGCCACCAGCAGCUCGCCCCACGUCUGAGAGCCACAAGGACGAGAGCCCUUUGGCCAGCCUGCCCUAUAUAGGAACAGAGUCCCAGCAGCAGCAGCCCAGAGGAGAUCCAACACACCUAGAGGAAAGGUGGGGCAGAGGCAAAAACAGCACAGUCAGUGCCCCACCCAAGCUGUUCCCUUCUUCCUUCCCCCAAGCCCCUGGGCCAGCCUGCCCCAUAUAGGAACAAUACAAAUACAAUAUAUACUGCUUGUACUUUUGUACUGUUUUUAUGCUUGUGUUUUAAUUUUUGAAAAAUCAGAUUUGUUUUUAUGUUUUUUAGCUCAAUGUUUUAAUGUGUCUUUUUAAUAAUCUUGUUUUUAAAUUUUAUUGUGAGCCGCCUUGGGGUUUUCUUAAUGAAAGGCGGGGUAUAAAUUUAACAAUAAAUAAAUAAAUAAAAGGGUCUCGGAAACCGAUGCACAUUGCAGGUCACACGCUUGAGCUGGUCUUUCACUUUGAUCAGGGUGGUGUUCCGUGGGUGGAGACUCCUGUGAUUUUCCCAUUGUCAUGGACGGACUACCAUCUGGUUAAGGUUGGACUCACAGUCAUACCCACACCUUCGCAGGGGCGAGGGGCCCAUUAGAAUGGUUCGCCUGAGAAGGUUAUUGGAUCCAAUAGGGUACCAAGAAGCCUUGGAGGGAUUUAGUGUAGGCUCUUCUGGUGAUGCUGUUGAUGCACUGGUGGAGAAUUGGAACAGUAAACUCACCAGGAGAGUAGACAUGAUCGCUCCUAAGCGUCCUCUCUGACUCACUUCAAAAUUGCCCCUUGGUAUAUGGAAGAACUACGGGGGCUGAAGCGGUGAGGUAGACAACAGAAGUGCAAGUGGAGGAAGACUUGAUGGGAAUAUGACAGAUUACAACAUAGAGCACAUUUGAAGAUCUAUGCUCUGGCUAAACAGGCGGCAAAGAAGCUAUUCUUUUCAGCCUGUAUUGCGUCCGCAAGUUCAUGUCCAGCGGAGUUAUUCAGGGUUGUGAGAGGGCUAGUAAGUGCCCCUCCUCCCUUGAAUCAGAAUUUGGAACCAACUAUUACCCGCUGUGAAGUGUUUAAUGACUUUUUGUGUGGAUAAAAUCUCAUAUUCGGGCCGACUUAGAAUUAGACCCCACAAUUACUGCAGUGUUUGAAUUGGAGGUGUCCAGCAAUUCCUCUUAUGUGGUCAAAGUGGAUCAGUUUGUGACUUGUGAGGAUGUGGACAAUCUGCUUGGAGCAAUGCAGCCUACUACCUGUUCUCUAGACCCUAGCCCAACAUGGCUAAUACUAUCUGCCAGGGAGGUUAUAGUAAAAGGCCUAGUAAAGAUCAUAAAUGCUUCUCUGAGGUUGGGCAGGAUGCUUCCUUGUCUUAAGGAGGCAAUUAUUAGACCACUUCUGAAGAAGCUUGUCUGUCUUGGAUUCCUCAGAGUUGAGCAACUAUAGGCCUAUCUCCAACCUUCCGUGGUUGGGCAAGGUAAUUGAGAGGGUGGUGGCCUCCCAAAUCCAGGCAGUUUUGGAUGAAACUGGUUAUCUAGACCUGUUUCAGACCGGCUUUCAGGUGGGCUAUGGGGUGGAGUCAGCCUGAUGGAUGAUCUCCAAUUGGGAAUUGACAGAGGAAGUAUGACUUUGUUGGUCCUUUUGGACCUCUCGGCAGCUUUUGAUACUAUUGACCAUAGUAUCAUUCUGGCGCGUCUGAGGGCGUUGGGGGUGGGAGACACUGCUUUGCAGUGGUUUCACGCUUACCUCCUGGGCAGAUUCCAGAUGGUGUCCCUCGAAGACUGUUGUUCUUCAAAAACUAAACUUCGGUAUGGUGUCCCUCAGGGCUCCGUAUUGUCUCCGAUGUUGUUUAACAUCUACAUGAAACUGCUGGGAGAGAUCAGGAGAUUUGGUGAAGGGUGUUACCAGUAUGCUGAUGACAUCCAAAUCUAUUUCUCCAUGUCAACAUCAUCAGGAGAAGGCAUAACCUCCCUAAAUGCCUGCUUGGAGGCAGUGAUGGGCUGGAUGAGAGGUAACAAACUGAGGCUGAAUUCAGAUAAGAUAGAGGUACUUAUUGUGCGGGUCAGAACCUGGGAGAUGAAUGAUGUUGAUCUGCCAGUUCUGGAUGGGGUCAUACUUCCCCAGAAGGAACAGGUACACAGUCUGGGAGUGUUUCUGGACACAAACCUCUCCUUGGUGUCCCAGGUUGAAGCAGUGGCCAGAGGUGCCUUUUAUCAGCUUCGGCUGAUAUGCUAGCUGCGUCCAUUUCUUGAGAUAAAUGACUUCAGAAUGGUAGCACAUCUGCUGGUUACCUCCAGACUUGAUUACUGCAAUGCGCUCUAGGUGUGGCUUCCUUUGUACGUAGUCCAGAAACUGCAGUAGGUCCACACUGAGGCAGCCAGGUUGGUCUCUGGGUGAUCUCAGAGAGACCAUAUCACUCCUAUCUUAAAAGAUCUACAAUGGUUGCGGAUAAGUUUCCAGACAAAAUACAAGGUUUUGGUUAUAACCUAUAACAUCUUAAACAGGGCCCUGGGUAUUUAAGAGAAAGCCUUCUUCGCUAUGAACCACACUGCCCAUCGUGAUCAUCUUGAGAGGUUUGUCUUUGGUUGCCACUGGUUCGUUGGUGGCUACUCAGGGACAGGCCUUCUCCAUUGCCACCCUGAGGCUUUAUUUUAUUUAUUUAUUCAUUCAUUCGAUUUCUAUACUGCCCUUCCAAAAAUGGCUCAGGGCGGUUUACACAGAGAAAUAAUAAAUAAAUGAGAUGGAUCCCUGUCCCCAAAGGGCUCACAAUCUAAAAAGAAGUGCUGGGGGUGGAUAGGGCCAGUUACUCUCCCCCUGCUAAAUAAAGAGAAUCACCAUGUUAAAAGGUGCCUCUUUGCCAAGUUUAAACACACUUCCUGCUGAAAUAAGAGCCUCUCCAUCUCUUACAACUUUAAAAAAGGCAGUCAAGACGCAUUUGUUCACCCAGGCUUUUAAUUAGAUAUUGUUUUAAUUGAGUUUUUAAUAGUUUUAAUGUUUUAAAUUUUAAUUGUUGUAAUGCUUUAAUAUUUUUAUCUGUUGUUUUAAUUGUUUUGUUGUAAACCGCCCAGAAACUUGCGUUUUGGACACUAUACAAAUGUGUUAAAUCUCUCUCUCUCUCUCUCUCUCUCUCUCUCUCUCUCUCUCUCGUGAUAAUUCCUCUCUACCACCAUAUGGUGGCAGCGUUUUAGAGUGUUGCAGCUAUAUUCCAUGUCACUUGUCUUUGAGUUUUGGGCAAAUUUUUUAUUUCGAAGAACGUUUGCAUGUAUUAGAAUAUUUUAAAACAUAGCUACUUCCUGCCUAAUUUCGCUCAGCACUAACAUCUAUUGCAUCUUUCUGUGUAAAUAAAUUCUGCCCAUCUAUAAUUGACUGUAAUUCCUAGGAAAUAUAAUAAUAAUCUAAUAUUGAUUUUUGACAAAAGUUUACAAAGUGGCUCACAUAACAAAAGCAAUUAAAAAUGAGGGGCAAGGGGAGUGAGAAAAUGGUUUCAUAUCCCAAAGGGGGUCUAUCUAAAGAGAAACACAGGGGAACACUAGCAACAACCACAGGAGAGAGAGAAUGCUGGCUGAAUUUGGACAGCUCCCCCCACCAUUAAAUAUGACAGCCAGCUUUGCUAACUUAGUCCUGUUAUUGCAUAUUUAAACAGAUACAUCUAUUAUAUAUUUUGAAGAAUUGUUUUGGUUGGUUGGUUGGUUGAUUGGUUGGUUGAAAAUAAAGUCAUACUUCCUGAUGA